UACGAAGGGGGCUAGCGUUGCUCGGAAUUACUGGGCGUAAAGGGCGCGUAGGCGGCACUGUUAGUCAGGCGCGAAAGUCCUGGGCUCAACCUGGGAACUGCGCUUGAUACGGCAGAGCUAGAGGAUGGAAGAGGCUCGCGGAAUUCCCAGUGUAGAGGUGAAAUUCGUAGAUAUUGGGAAGAACACCGGUGGCGAAGGCGGCGAGCUGGUCCAUUACUGACGCUGAGGCGCGACAGCGUGGGGAGCAAACAGG
rnacentral:rRNA from 1 species